UCCUUCGUGGGUUUAGGGCGUUGUUCUUUGCCCUUAGGCAACCAUGGACGACCCCACAAUUAACUUGAGUGAUGAAGAUGAAGAAAUGGAACAGCAGAAUGCACCUCUUGCCUAUGAAGGGUCUCUGAGUAAAUGGACAAAUUAUAUUCAUGGCUGGCAAAGUCGCUGGAUGGUUCUAUCAAAUGGGACACUCUCUUACUACAAGUCUGAGCACGAGCAGGGCGUCGGCUGUCGCGGUGCCAUCAGCGUCUUCAAAGCUGUCAUCAAGCCUCACGAGUUCGAUGAGUGUCGGUUCGACGUCUGCGUGGGCGACUCGGUGUGGUACCUGCGCUCCAACGCGCUCGACGACCGCAACCGCUGGAUGGAGGCCAUCGAGCGCGCCAAAUGCGCGGACUCGGCGUAUGGCAGCGCCAACAGUUUGAAGCGGCACGGCUCGGCGCUCUCGCUCACAUCCAAUACGCUGUCCGGCUCCGGCGUCAAAUGGUGCAAAGGUCUGCGGGAGAAGGUCGAAGAGCUGGAGACGUUCCGCGACAUCCUGACGCGUCAGGUGGACACGAUGCAGAACUACUUCGACGCCUGCAUCUCGGUCACGGACGCCGGCCGCGGCCACGGCGUGGGACACCCAGCCUGGAGUGAUAGCGACGACGAUGCCCUGCCGACGGAGACGCGAGGUGACGCCGCCAAAGCCCCACCGACUCCAUCGCGAGAGGCGUUCCAGGCGCAGGGGCUGGAUCCGAUCGACUUCAAAGGAGAGGCCAUCACGUUUAAGGCGACCACGUCGGGCGUGCUGUCCACACUGCAGCACUGCGCCGAGCUGAUGGCGCAGCGUGAGGACGCCUGGCGCCGGCGCAUGGAGCGCGAGCUCGAGCGGCGCCGCCAGCUGGAGGAGCUGCUGGCGCGCCAGCAGGAGGCGGCCGCGCUGGCCGCCGGUGCCGGCACGCCGCCGCCCAGCAGCCCGGCCAGCGCCGGCUCCAAGCAGCGGCACAUCAUGUUCGGCGGACCCGACUACCAGGAGGGUCCACACAGUACGAUUGGCGAAGAUGAGUUUUUCGACGCCGUCGAGUCGGCCCUGGACCGCAUCACAGAGGACCAGGAGUUCCGCGACAAGAUGCGCAAGAAGCAGAGCGUCAAACCGUCGGAGGCGCCCAAGAGCAGUCAGCACUCUUUGCUGAAGGAGGUGGAGCGCGUCACCCAGCAGCAGUUCAAGUACGCGCUGGCCGGUGUCGACGACGGCGUGUGGACUAUCUUCGCCGAGGAGGGCGAGAUGAAGAUGUACAAACGCGAGGAGGAGGUGGACGGCCUGGCCGUGGACCCGCUGAAGGCGGUCCACUUUGUCUCCGGCGUCACGGCGCACGAGGUCUGCCACCACUUCUGGUCGCCCGACGUCCGGCUCGAGUGGGAGACCACGGUGGAGCAGGUGACCAUCCUGGAGACGGUGGACGAGCAGACGGCCAUCAACCUGCAGGUGCACAAGCGUGUGUGGCCGGCGGCGCAGCGCGACUCGCUGUUCUGGUCGCACAUCGAGCGCCAGGUGGUGGACGGCCAGGAGUACUGGGUGGUCGUCAACAACUCGACCGACUACGCCAGCGAGGUGAGAGCCGCCGCCCCUCUGACCUCUGACCGUCCCCUCCCUUCUGACCGGCCCGACCCCGCCGCACUGUGCCCGGAGUGACUCGGUACAGGCAAUGAUCUCAGCGACAGAACUGGAGGGCAAUCAACCCGCGCGACAGCUCAACAAAUCGGUAUUGGUUCAGCGUGGGUGUGCGUGUCUUUUUUGCAAGCCGCUUCGUUCAUUUAACCCUCAAUUGACCCCUGGCUCAGGACCCAUCGGGUGGCAACCUCUGGGCGCUGGUUGUGCGUGUCAAUAUUACCAUAUGUGUGGCAUGUAACAUUUUGAUGCAAUCACCAUCACAUUUUUUAUAGCAGUCUUGUGACUGCUUUUUGCUGGUAUGUUCUUUGUUUGAUGUUUCCUCAUUUCGUUAACAGACCGUCACACAUUAGUUUGACUAAUUUUUGAUCCGGGGGGCGGGCGCUGCACGCUUAUGAAAUUCUUCGUCACCAGGGCAUGUGCUUACACCGUCAAUGUUGUAGUUAUGUAGCGGCACAGUCUUUGUUCGAUCACGGGCGCGGAUGUAGAGAUGUGUUUUUCUUAGUUGCUGGCCGGAUACACUGUGCACUGUGCGGCGUUGUUUUGUUCGUAGCGCGCUGGGUGUGUAGGUAGCACAGGUCGCUCACUGGUCGGUCACCGCCGCCCGCCACUGUCACAAGGCGCCCGUCUUCCGGUAGCAAAUGCGACUGCAUCCACCUUACCCCCGCACGGACGAUCCACGCGCCGAGGAGGGAUGGCUCUUCCUGGCGGCGCGCGAGUCCAGCGACAAGUACGUGCGCGUGCUGCUCACCGUCUGCAUGACCUGCCAGACGGAGAUCGUCGGCGACAAGUCGGACCUCUCCAAGGUGACCCGCGACCAGCUGCGCUGCAAAAUCACAUACUGCUCCGUCGUGAACCCCGGCGGCUGGGCGCCCACCUCGGCUCUGCGCAUGGUCUACAAACGCGAGUACCCGCGCUUCCUCAAACGCUUCACCGGCUACGUCAUAGAGCAGUGCAAGAACAAGCCGAUCCAGUGGUAGUGUCGCAGUCGGGCCGGGGCCGGGAGCGGUGGACAGGGACGGCGGGCGCCCGCGCUCCGGUGUCUGUCGGACAGACAGACGGCCAGGAGGGCGGCGGCGCCCCGGCGGCAGCGACUGCCGGCGCCGCCAAUGAUACAUAUCGGGACUGUGGGCGGACCUACGGAUGCAAUGUGCGCGCUGCCCCGUUGAGACAGGGUCGGCGCCGCCCGUCGCACUCUGAUGCAUCUGUGUGGGCGCGCGUCUGUGUGCGCGGACUGCGGAGUAUGUGUGAAUGUGUGUGGUGAUUUGCUGCUGGUGCUGUUUCCCCUCUGUAUGAGAGCGGUGCAGUUCUUGGCGUUGGACGCAUCCUACCCGCGGCGGUUGAACGCCGGUGUCGGACUUCGACGCAUCCGCCGCUUCGUCAUCUUCGAAUGAAUAGGGAUAUUAACGGAUCGUGAGAAAUAACUGAUCGCUAUAUGCAUUUUGGGGAACAUAAUUGUAUUUACUGAGACCUGAUCGUGCGUGUUGCAUUGGAUGUUUACCACUGUUGAUGUCAUCGAUCUGAAUGACGUUUGAUAUAGUCAUUUAUUUUGUGUACUUCGGCUUUGCAUACGUGGCGCACAGCUCGGCCAUGUGUCGUACCCCGUCAUAUUGGGAAAUGAACGCUAUGAUUGGA